rnacentral:rRNA from 1 species
UACGGGGGGGGCAAGCGUUGUUCGGAAUUACUGGGCGUAAAGGGCUCGUAGGCGGCCAACUAAGUCAGACGUGAAAUCCCUCGGCUUAACCGGGGAACUGCGUCUGAUACUGGAUGGCUGGAGAUUGGGAGAGGGAUGCGGAAUUCCAGGUGUAGCGGUGAAAUGCGUAGAUAUCGGAAGGAACAUCAGUGGCGAAAGCGACUUCCUGGACCAAUACUGACGCUCAUGUGCGAAAGCGUGGGGAGCAAACAGG